AGAGUUUGAUCAUGGCUCAGAUUGAACGCUGGCGGCAGGCCUAACACAUGCAAGUCGAACGGUAACAGGAAGCAGCUUGCUGCUUCGCUGACGAGUGGCGGACGGGUGAGUAAUGUCUGGGAAACUGCCUGAUGGAGGGGGAUAACUACUGGAAACGGUAGCUAAUACCGCAUAAUGUCGCAAGACCAAAGAGGGGGACCUUCGGGCCUCUUGCCAUCGGAUGUGCCCAGAUGGGAUUAGCUUGUUGGUGGGGUAACGGCUCACCAAGGCGACGAUCCCUAGCUGGUCUGAGAGGAUGACCAGCCACACUGGAACUGAGACACGGUCCAGACUCCUACGGGAGGCAGCAGUGGGGAAUAUUGCACAAUGGGCGCAAGCCUGAUGCAGCCAUGCCGCGUGUAUGAAGAAGGCCUUCGGGUUGUAAAGUACUUUCAGCGGGGAGGAAGGGAGUAAAGUUAAUACCUUUGCUCAUUGACGUUACCCGCAGAAGAAGCACCGGCUAACUCCGUGCCAGCAGCCGCGGUAAUACGGAGGGUGCAAGCGUUAAUCGGAAUUACUGGGCGUAAAGCGCACGCAGGCGGUUUGUUAAGUCAGAUGUGAAAUCCCCGGGCUCAACCUGGGAACUGCAUCUGAUACUGGCAAGCUUGAGUCUCGUAGAGGGGGGUAGAAUUCCAGGUGUAGCGGUGAAAUGCGUAGAGAUCUGGAGGAAUACCGGUGGCGAAGGCGGCCCCCUGGACGAAGACUGACGCUCAGGUGCGAAAGCGUGGGGAGCAAACAGGAUUAGAUACCCUGGUAGUCCACGCCGUAAACGAUGUCGACUUGGAGGUUGUGCCCUUGAGGCGUGGCUUCCGGAGCUAACGCGUUAAGUCGACCGCCUGGGGAGUACGGCCGCAAGGUUAAAACUCAAAUGAAUUGACGGGGGCCCGCACAAGCGGUGGAGCAUGUGGUUUAAUUCGAUGCAACGCGAAGAACCUUACCUGGUCUUGACAUCCACGGAAGUUUUCAGAGAUGAGAAUGUGCCUUUCGGGAACCGUGAGACAGGUGCUGCAUGGCUGUCGUCAGCUCGUGUUGUGAAAUGUUGGGUUAAGUCCCGCAACGAGCGCAACCCUUAUCCUUUGUUGCCAGCGGUCCGGCCGGGAACUCAAAGGAGACUGCCAGUGAUAAACUGGAGGAAGGUGGGGAUGACGUCAAGUCAUCAUGGCCCUUACGACCAGGGCUACACACGUGCUACAAUGGCGCAUACAAAGAGAAGCGACCUCGCGAGAGCAAGCGGACCUCAUAAAGUGCGUCGUAGUCCGGAUUGGAGUCUGCAACUCGACUCCAUGAAGUCGGAAUCGCUAGUAAUCGUGGAUCAGAAUGCCACGGUGAAUACGUUCCCGGGCCUUGUACACACCGCCCGUCACACCAUGGGAGUGGGUUGCAAAAGAAGUAGGUAGCUUAACCUUCGGGAGGGCGCUUACCACUUUGUGAUUCAUGACUGGGGUGAAGUCGUAACAAGGUAACCGUAGGGGAACCUGCGGUUGGAUCACCU
rnacentral:rRNA from 1 species